CCCCCGCUUUUCCUCCCUGAGCGGGGCCUUGAGUUGCAGCGAUGCAAAAGAGGCUUCCCGGCCCGGCGGAUUGCCGGGCUCUUUUUUU
rnacentral:ncRNA from 1 species